UGGGCUCAAGCCAUCUUCCCUCCACUGCCUCCAAGUAGCUGGGGACUACAGGUCAUGUGAGCACACAGCAUAAAGGCAGCUGCCCACAAGCCAGGAAGAGAAGCAUCAUCAGAAACCGACCAUACUGGCUUCCUGAUCUCAGACUUUCAGCCUCCAGAAUGAGAUGGGGGUGUGAAAGGAAAUGAAAUCUUGGGACCCUAAACUCAUUAAGCCAAAGGGAAAAGCUGGGCCG
rnacentral:lncRNA from 10 species